rnacentral:rRNA from 1 species
GACGAACGCUGGCGGCGUGCCUAAUACAUGCAAGUUGAGCGCUGAAGGUUGGUACUUGUACCAACUGGAUGAGCAGCGAACGGGUGAGUAACGCGUGGGGAAUCUGCCUUUGAGCGGGGGACAACAUUUGGAAGCGAAUGCUAAUACCGCAUAAAAACUUUAAACACAAGUUUUAAGUUUGAAAGAUGCAAUUGCAUCACUCAAAGAUGAUCCCGCGUUGUAUUAGCUAGUUGGUGAGGUAAAGGCUCACCAAGGCGAUGAUACAUAGCCGACCUGAGAGGGUGAUCGGCCACAUUGGGACUGAGACACGGCCCAAACUCCUACGGGAGGCAGCAGUAGGGAAUCUUCGGCAAUGGACAAAAGUCUGACCGAGCAACGCCGCGUGAGUGAAGAAGGUUUUCGGAUCGUAAAACUCUGUUGGUAGAGAAGAACGUUGGUGAGAGUGGAAAGCUCAUCAAGUGACGGUAACUACCCAGAAAGGGACGGCUAACUACGUG